rnacentral:misc_RNA from 1 species
UGUUGUCAGAGCUGUCAAGUGGUGGCAGUCCGCUAUCGACCUGUGAUCACACCUCACCCCUUGGCCUCCCUCCUUACUGGAUAUUUCGUGUUUAAAUGGAUUGAUCAGUGCCGUCGGCCCAGGAUGUCGGUGCGGGAGCUGUACGUUAAGGGCGCCCGCGUAUGGAUCCCGGACCCCGUGCAGGUGUGGCGGUGCGCUGAGCUCACCAAGGACUACAAGAAUCACCUGGUGUCUGUCAUCUAUGCUGACUCUCAGGGGGUGCAACGUACUGAUGAGUUCAAGGUAAAAAGCGACGAAGACCUGCCCCCUCUGCGGAAUCCUGACAUUCUUAUAGGCGAAAAUGAUCUCACCUCCCUAUCAUAUCUCCAUGAACCUGCUGUCCUUUACAACUUGCAAGUGCGCUUCGGCAAUCACAAUGCCAUCUACACAUACUGCGGAAUUGUCCUUGUGGCCAUCAAUCCAUACGAGGAGUUGCCUAUCUAUGGCCCAGACACUAUUGGAGCUUAUCGAGGUCACUCCAUGGGUGACCUCGAUCCCCACAUCUUCGCUGUGGCAGAAGAGGCAUUUACACAAAUGGAAAGGGACGAGAAAGACCAAAGUAUCAUUGUGUCUGGAGAAUCGGGUGCUGGGAAAACUGUAUCAGCUAAAUAUGCCAUGAGAUAUUUUGCAAGUGUCGGUGGGUCAGAUUCAGAGACGCAGAUAGAAAAGAAGAUUCUUGCGUCAAACCCAAUUAUGGAGGCAAUAGGUAAUGCAAAGACUACAAGAAAUGACAAUAGUUCACGUUUUGGAAAAUAUAUCGAGUUGGAUUUCACCCGUAACUUCAGUAUACUGGGAGCCAAUAUGAGAACAUACCUUUUAGAAAAAUCACGCGUUGUGUUUCAGGCGCCGUGUGAAAGGAAUUACCACAUAUUUUAUCAGCUGUGCUCAGCCUCGUCAGAUCAGAGACAUAAACAUCUGCGAUUAGGCUCUCCAGAAAGUUUUCACUACUUGAAUCAAGGACUCCGGGAGGCUCCCGAAUGGUCAUCCAAGACCCGCAAGGGGCAUCAGGACAAUUUCCAUUACUUAAACCAAGGCCACAGUCCUCAUAUUGGUGGUGUGGACGAUGCUGCAGACUUUCAGGAAACAUGUCGAGCAUUCUCCCUCUUGGGGAUCAGUGAAGCAACGCAGGAACAGUUGUUCAGAAUUCUUGCAGGAAUAUUACAUCUAGGAAACGUAACCUUUGAAGAGGAUGUUGGUGAAUCUUCUACAAUUGAUAACGGUGAUAAAUCGCUCCAUAUAGCUGCGGAACUACUAGGUAUUCCAUUAGAAGAUAUUCGCAUGUGGCUGUGUAAUCGUAAGAUUGUCGGUGGCAGAGAAGUUUUUACAAAACCCAUGACAUAUACUGAGGCUACAUUUUCAAGAGAUGCAUUGGCAAAACAUAUUUAUGCAAAAUUGUUUGAGUGGAUUGUAACACAGAUCAACAAGUGUUUUGCCUCUACAGCAAAACCUUUCAGAUUUAUUGGAGUUCUUGACAUCUAUGGUUUUGAGACAUUUGAGAUCAAUAGCUUUGAGCAGUUUUGUAUUAAUUAUGCGAAUGAAAAGCUACAGCAACAGUUUAACCAGCACGUGUUCAAAUUAGAACAAGAAGAGUAUGUGAAGGAACAGAUUGAAUGGGAGUUCAUCAACUUCUAUGACAACCAGCCUUGCAUUGAUCUCAUAGAGAGCAAGUUAGGAAUCUUGGACCUCCUUGAUGAAGAGUGUAAGAUGCCAAAGGGUACUGACCACUCAUGGGUAGAGAAGUUGUAUGACAAGUGCAAGAAGUUUGAUCACUUCAGUAAACCUCGCUUAUCCAAUACUUCUUUCCUCAUAGCACAUUUUGCUGACAAGGUUGGCUACGAGAGUGCUGGCUUCCUUGAGAAGAACCGAGACACGGUAUCUGAGGAACAGAUAAAUAUACUUAAAUCUAGUCAGAUUAAUUUAGUACAUGCCCUUUUUAUGGAGAAGGACAAAAAAGCCCCUACCAAAGUGAAGGUCUUGCCUAUUGGACCAGUACAUUCUAAAUCGAAACAAAUGAAAAAAUCUGUUGGCUCUCAGUUUCGCGAAUCACUGAAUUUGUUGAUGUUGACAUUAAACUCUACGACGCCUCACUAUGUGAGGUGCAUUAAACCUAACGAUGAUAAGAUGGCCUUUACCUUCGAUCCUACCCGAGCCAUUCAACAGUUGAGGGCCUGCGGUGUGUUGGAGACAGUUAGAAUUAGUGCUGCAGGUUAUCCCUCUAGAUGGACGUAUCAUGAAUUCUUCUGCCGAUACCGAGUACUGUGCAAUUCCAAAGACAUUCAAAGGAAUGACAUGCGUGUGACCUGCGAAAAGAUCAUUGGUAACAUGAUCAGUGAUCAAGACAAAUUCAAGUUUGGUCGGACUAAGAUUUUCUUCAGAGCAGGCCAGGUGGCCUAUAUGGAGAAACUUCGGGCAGACCGCUUAUCUGCUUGCGGCGUCAUGAUUCAGAAACAUGUAAGAAUGUUCAUACAUCGAAACCGCUUCAGAACAAUGCGAAAGGCUGCAAUAACCAUACAAAGGUACUCCAGAGGCACAGCAGCUCGCAGACGUGUUCAUCACAUGCGACAAACUGCAGCUGCUAUCAAAAUUCAGGCAUGCGUGCGUGGUUGGGUUAAGUGGGUGCAGUACCGUCGUCUUGUUUACACUAUCACUCGGUUGCAGGCUCAUGCUCGUGGUGCAUUUGCUCGGCAAAGAUAUGAGCACAUGCGAAGAGUUAAAGCGGCCAUCGUCAUCCAGAAGUAUGUGCGAGCGUGGAUGACAAGGCGUCACUUCGUGAAGGCCAUGCACGGAAUCAUUAUUACACAAGGUCUUGUGCGAUGUUUCCUGGCUAGAAGGAAGCUGAAGAAGCUUAAGAUUGAAGCCAAGUCUGUGGAGCACCAGAAGAAACUCAACAAGGGAUUAGAAAACAAGAUCAUAUCACUUCAACAAAAGCUUACGGAGCUGAAAACUGAGAACAGCCACAUCAAAGGUUACAAAGAAGAGAUAUCCGUUCUGAAGGGACACAUGAUAGAGAUGAAGGCUAUGGAAGUGAACCUCAAGAGCAGCAAUAAUCGUAUUGCCGAGCUUGAGGCUAAAGUUUCCGCUCUUACACAGGAAGUUGAGCUGGAGCGAGGCGAGAAGAUGGAUGUCUUGAAUGAAAAGGAGCGAGCAGAGAAAGAUAAUCGUGAACUAUUAGAAAAACUCAAUGCAGAAAAUGCUCGGCUAACAGAAGAACUUACGAAAGCCCAAAAAGAAGAAACCCAACGAGAAUCGGAAGAGGUGCUUCGACGUAAAUUUGAAGCGGAGAAAGAACAGAUAAUCAUGGAGAAUACAGACGAGAAGUCAGCAUACCAAAGAUUAUUGAAGGAAUUUAAUCGCCUGGAACAGAAGAAUGAUGUUUUAGAAGAGCAGCUAGCAAAGUUGAAAGGUGGCAAUGCUCAUAAGAGAACAGCAAGCAAUGUGAGUAACAUCAGUGGUGCUAGUGAUGCUCCCACCGAGCUCGUCCGUGAUGAUGCAUCUGAAUUCAGUUCCAUCAUUGGAGAUGAUGAUUGGAUGUCUGAUGUUGGAUACGGUUCUGUGAGAAGUCGUGCCAGUGAAAUAUCGGACUCGAGUAGAAACUUGGACAAUAUUGACUGGAGUUCUCCAUCUCAUAAAGUCAAUAGUACUGAAAUCAAGAUUCACGUACCUGAGAAGGUGGAGGACAUCACCUUAGUACUUCAACUACAAAACAAAGUGCGUGAAUUAGAAAAGGAACGGAGGAGUCUGGCCAAACAGAUAGAUCAGUUGGAAUCGUCAUCUCCCCUGGAUGACCCACAGCACGCACAGGAGCUCAUUCGGCUUCAGGAACUGGAGAUGGAAAAUGCUAAAUUGAAGGAUGACCUUAAUCGCCUGCGAAAAUCCAUUGCUGACUCUGAACCGCAGAAUAAUAGAGUUCAAGAGUUUAUGAAACAAUUUGAGGCUCUUCAAGACGAGUUGGAGCGAAGACGAGAGGAAUGUAUCCAGCUGCGAACAGUGCUGGCCAACCGUGCCCAUGAUCUGCGUUCCCUCACCCAGACGUCCUAUGGCAAAGAUGUUGAUAUAGUCAAUGAGGAUGGGGAACUAGCGUUAGCUUACCAAACACAAAAGCAGAUUAACAGACGACAAUUAGAGGAGGAACUCAAAACAGAAAAGUUACGACAUCGUGAAACAGAAACAGAGUACAAAAGCGAGUUGGAGCGACUGCGCCGGGACAAUGAGCGCCAGCAGAAAUUGUUAUCGCAGAAUCUAUCCAAGGGUGAAGGUUUCAACCCCGAGGCACUUCUGCAGUCAGAGAUUAUGCGCCUCACCUCUGAGAAUCUUAAUCUUCAGGGCCAGGUAGACAGUCUGACUGAGCAACUUAAGAAGUACAAGCGCUCGCUAAGAGCUUAUGCCAAAAAGCUCAAAGAGGCUGGUGGCUCGGGCAGCAAGCGGUCCUCAGCACAAGGCAGCCCAUAUGGUGGUGAUCCUCCCGACUUGCUCGAUGUGGCUGCCACGAACGAAGGUGAAGUGAUGCCAGUCAUUCGUAAAAAGGAGCGUGACUACAUGGGCAUGUUUGAGUAUGAUCGACGGGAGGAGAUGCAGAUUAUUAGAGUCCUCAUUUAUGAGCUGAAGCCGCGUGUGGCUGUGACAUUCCUGCCAGGACUUCCAGCCUACAUAUUGUUCAUGUGCAUUCGACACACUGAUCACAUCAACGAUGACGAAAAAGUGCGCUCUCUUCUCAACAACAUAGUAAAUGGUGUGAAGAGGGUUAUCAAAAAACGACAUGAAGAUUUAGAUUCUACCGUUCUGUGGCUAUCCAAUGUCCUUCGACUUUUACACAAUCUCAAACAGUAUUCGGGCGACAAGGCUUUCCAGGCUGAAAAUACUGUUAAACAAAAUGAACAGUCUUUGAAGAACUUUGAUUUGUCAGAAUACCGACAAGUUUUGUCUGACAUUGCCGUUUGGAUUUAUAAUGGUGUAAUAAAACUAAUGGAGGAGAAAGUGCAGCCACUGAUUGUCCCUUCCAUCCUGGAGCACGAGGCCAUCGCGGGGCUCUCGGGCAACAAGCCAGGAGGCAUGAGAGGUCGAGCCGGCAGUUUGGCACGGGAGCUGGAGUCUCCGGUGGAACCUCAAAAAGCAUUAGAUCUUCUACUGAAGGAGAUGACUCAGUUCUAUCGCACACUUGCCAUGUUUGGUACUGACCCUGAACUUAUAACUCAAGUCUUCAGACAGAUAUUUUACUUCAUCUGUGCGGGAUCUCUAAACAACUUGUUGCUCCGCAAAGACAUGUGUCACUGGUCGAAAGGUAUGCAGAUCCGCUAUAAUCUAAGUCAUUUGGAGCAGUGGACACGUGAUAUGAGACUUCACGAGUCUGGGGUAACAGAUACACUCGCUCCCAUUAUUCAGGCUGCUCAACUUCUUCAAGCUCGCAAGACAGAUGAUGAUGUUCACUCCAUAUGUGAUAUGUGUGACAAGCUCUCUGUAUCUCAGAUCAUAAAGAUUCUCAAUCUGUAUACACCUGCUGAUGAAUUUGAAGAACGGGUUCCCAUCACUUUCAUUCACAAAAUUCAGGCGAAACUUCAAGCACGAGCAGAGGGCGAACAGGCUCAGGCAACUCUGCUAAUGAACACCAAGUUUGCUUUCCCGGUUCGCUUCCCCUUCAACCCGUCAAGCAUUCACCUAGAGGAUGUCGAGUUGCCUGAAGCUCUCCCACUGAGCAUGUUAAAGAAAGUUUAAUUAAGAUAAACAGGUUAGCAGCGGUCCUUUUGUAAGUAGAGCAACUAGUGACAGGGAGCAAUAAAUUAGUGAGAGCAGAGACUGUGUUAUAUCUUCAGGAGUUUAUCAGUCAGUAGUUCACUCUGUAUUAUGUGCUGCUAGUGAGCAAAUUAACACCACAACAAUUUGUGAAGUUAGAAAGUAAGUUGUUGAAGUCUUAGCAGACAAAAUGAGUGUUAAACAAUUGAAGCUGGCAGGUACCUCAUUAAUUAAUUGAUGCAAAGUCACCCAUCUCCUGAAAUAUAAAGUCAUAAUUAGUUACUAUUAAUUGUACUGACAGCAUGCUGCUUCUUAAUGACAUGUUUUUAAAACUGAAAUGAGUAGAUUUGUCAUCAUAAAUGUGUGAAAUCCAUCAUCAGUGUGUUAGUGUGAACAUGGUGAGUACAAGAUGAUUGUUCAGAGACACAAGGUGAAUCUACCUGGGUUUCAUUUCACUCAUUGUACUGUGUUAAGCCUUGGAAGCGAGCAAACAUUUGAUGACAAAAUAAGUUGAAUACUAUUAUAAAUGAGUAGAAAUCGGUUCCAUGCUCAUGUUAACUGUAGGGGGGGGCAGCUUUGUCGAUAUAUUUAUGAAUCGGGGUCAUUAUGUAUAGUUCUUUGAACGAGGGCAGCGUAUCAAUAAAAUAAUGAACCGGAUAACGUGUACAAGGACCAGUCUCGUUCCUACACAAGGUGCCAGUACUGAUUAUGUUGAUACAUGAUUAUUUACUCUGUUUCCAAUAUGAAAAUUCUUCCAUGUGAUAUUGCUUUAUUGCUCUAUUUUCCCAUGACAGCUAUGUAAAGAAGUCUGGUGUCAUAUAAGGCAGCAUCAACAAGGCAACCAUAUCUAAUUACAGUAUUGUAUAUAUUUACUGAUAAAGCAUUUUAAUUGGUUCUCUUGUGAAGUUGCAGCUAACUAAUUGCAUUCCUUUCACAUUCCAAAAACCUCUAAAUACAUAUUACUUUAAUGUAAUAUAUGGUUCAUAGUGUUAUUUAUUUAUUGUAUAGAUGUUCAGAGUCUAACUUAUGGAGAAUAUAGUUUAGUGUGUAAGGGGGUGCCGUGUGGGUGUUGUGUGGACACCGCGUGAGUUACACGAAGAUGCUACAUUCUCUUUAGUGUACACAAUUUGUUUUUGAAAAUAUGGCUAUGUACAGUAUAUGAAAUUAAUUUGUAUGACUUGAGCUAUUUUAAGAUUUUUAGUGAUGAUACUCAACUGUCCUAUCAGCACACUUCAUGGUGUCUCUUACCACUAACAGUAAAGAAAGGUAUAAAUAAAUUAUACAGUAUGUAUAAUUUUUUAUAUAAAUAUUAUAUACUAUAUAUUGUAUUCUAUAAUAUACUUGUAUAGUUUAUAAUAUGUAUAUUAUAUAAUAGUAAAUAGUCCAUUGACAAGUGACUUGAGUGCUGUAUCCUAAGUUAAUGUGUUCAUCAUUUUAGCACCUUUUCAUUAAAGUCCAUAAAAUAUGCUUGUCACCUUUUCUUCCCCGUGAUGUGUUAACUAUCUCAUAUUAUACUCGUGAUUUGAAGUCACAAACCAGGAGAGAUUAUCACAAUUCCCAUAGAGUAAAUUAUUAUUUAAGUCGUUAGGUUUUGAUUGUAUCGAAUGGGGUAAUUUGGCUUUUUCUUACAUUCAACUGAAGGCUGAACCAUUGGAAAUGUUGCAUAAAUUAACUGUUGAAUUAUACACUGUUGCAAAUGUGAGACUCAACUUUGGAUGAUAUUAUUGCAAAUGUAUUUUGUGGCUAAACCUUAAACCAAACCAAAUGUGCUAUUGUAUGGACAUAACUAAAUGGUAAUUACUGGCUGAAAUCUACCGAGUUUGUAAUUGAAGGUUUGUAAUUAUAAAAUAAAUAAUUCUGUAUAUCAGUUGUUUGUGUUGACAAUAUUUAGCUUGUUGGCCACAUAACUUACAUUGUAAUUAUAAUGUUUACGUCAGGAGCCAGGUACAGUACUUGGUUAUAGAGCCAGGUACAGUACUUGGUUAUAGAGUCAGAUACAGUACUUGGUUAUAGAGCCAGGUACAGUACUUGGUUAUAGUGCCAGGUACAGUACUUGGUUAUAGUGCCAGGUACAGUACUUGGUUAUAGUGCCAGGUACAGUACUUGGUUAUAGUGCCAGGUACAGUACUUGGUUACAGUGCCGGGUAGAGUAAAGUGUUGCAAGCUUCAGUGCUACAUAUCGUGUGUGUGUGCGUGUAGCAUUUAGGGGAAAUAAGUGCCAGAUAUUUGUUGACGACCAAAAUAUGUAAGCUUAUAAUUACCAUGAAGUACAUAGUACUAUACAUAGAGGGUUGGUGGUCACAUAGUACUCUACAUAGAGGGUUGGUGGUCACAUAGUACUCUACAUAGAGGGACGGAGGUCACAAGUCCUGUUGGGUUUGAGGAAAUUUGACACUUUAUUUUGUUUUUGUUUUGCAGAAAAGUUGGGUAAGGCAGUGAUAAGCCCUAAACAUCAAGCAUUUAUAUAUAUAUUUUUUUUUAUAAUAAUAAAAUGGCUAUUUACUGUAAUUUAUUUUUGAACAAGGCUAACCUAUUUUUGUUCACUUUUUCCUUCUGUAUAUUAUGAUGUAUAAAUGCCCUUAAAACUAUUUAUUAUUAAUGAUAUUAGAUAACAAAAUUAAGUGGAAAUGAUUAUUGACAAAUUAUAUUACCAAAAAUUCAAGAUUUUAUUUUUUGUGCCUGAAGAAUAUAUAAAUUUCUUAAAUGAUUAUUUAAUACUAAACUAAUUUUUAAAUGCAAUAUGUGAAGAGUGGUGAAGUGGGUGAGACAUUGGUGUACACUGCUGGAAAACAAAGGACAAAGUCCUAGCAGUGCUCUCUUGUAACUGUGCGUUGCCGCCUUAUUAAUAUGUUAAUUGGAAACAAAUAAAUACAGACGAGUUGUA